rnacentral:rRNA from 1 species
GACGAACGCUGGCGGCGUGCUUAACACAUGCCAGUCGAACGAAAAGGCCCUGCUUGCAGGGUACUCGCGUGGCGAACGGGUGGGUAACACGCGGGUGGUCAGCCCACCACUUCGGGAUAAGCUUGGUCAACAGGCUGUAGUACCUGCUAGGACCUCUCUUUAGUGUGUUUGGUGAAUAGUUUUGUCGGUGUAGGAUGAGCUCGGGGAGUAUAAGCUCGUUGGUGUGGUAAUGGCGUACCGGGGCGGCGAGGGGUAGCCGGCCUGCGAGGGUGUACGGCCACACUGGGCCCCAGAGACGGGCCACAGUCCGGCGGGUGGCAGCAGUGGGGAAUAUCGGACAGUGGGCGCAAGCGUGAGGCAGCGACGCCGCGGGGGGGUUGAAGGCCGUCGGGUGGUAAAAUCCUAUGGCUAGGGACGAAGCUUUGUUGUGACGGUACCUAGACAAGAAGCAACGGCUAACUACGUG